rnacentral:rRNA from 1 species
AACCUGCCCACUGAGGAUUUAAAUGGCCGCGGUAUUUUGACCGUGCAAAGGUAGCAUAAUAAUUAGUUUUUUAAUUGAAAGCUGGAAUGAAAGGUUGAAUGAGAAAAUAACUGUCUCUAUUUAGAUUAAUUAGAAUUUUAUUUUUAAGUAAAAAAGCUUAAAUAAAAAUAGAAGACGAGAAGACCCUAUAGAGUUUUAAUUUAGUUGGGGUGAUUGAAAAAUUUAAUAAACUUUUUUUAUAUUUAAACAUUAAUUUAUGAAUAGUUGAUCCUUUUUUAAAGAUUAAAAGAAAAAAUUACCUUAGGGAUAACAGCGUAAUUUUUUUAGAGAGUUCAAAUCGAAAAAAAAGAUUGCGACCUCGAUGUUGGAUUAAAAUUAAGUCUUGGUGUAGAAGCUAA